UCCUGGCUCAGGACGAACGCUGGCGGCGCGCCUAACACAUGCAAGUCGAACGAGAGAUGAGGAGCUUGCUCUUCAAAUCGAGUGGCGAACGGGUGAGUAACGCGUGAGGAACCUGCCUCAAAGAGGGGGACAACAGUUGGAAACGACUGCUAAUACCGCAUAAGCCCACGGCUCGGCAUCGAGCAGGGGGAAAAGGAGCAAUCCGCUUUGAGAUGGCCUCGCGUCCGAUUAGCUAGUUGGUGAGGUAACGGCCCACCAAGGCGACGAUCGGUAGCCGGACUGAGAGGUUGAACGGCCACAUUGGGACUGAGACACGGCCCAGACUCCUACGGGAGGCAGCAGUGGGGAAUAUUGCACAAUGGGGGAAACCCUGAUGCAGCGACGCCGCGUGGAGGAAGAAGGUCUUCGGAUUGUAAACUCCUGUUGUUGAGGAAGAUAAUGACGGUACUCAACAAGGAAGUGACGGCUAACUACGUGCCAGCAGCCGCGGUAAAACGUAGGUCACAAGCGUUGUCCGGAAUUACUGGGUGUAAAGGGAGCGCAGGCGGGAGAACAAGUUGGAAGUGAAAUCCAUGGGCUCAACCCAUGAACUGCUUUCAAAACUGUUUUUCUUGAGUAGUGCAGAGGUAGGCGGAAUUCCCGGUGUAGCGGUGGAAUGCGUAGAUAUCGGGAGGAACACCAGUGGCGAAGGCGGCCUACUGGGCACCAACUGACGCUGAGGCUCGAAAGUGUGGGUAGCAAACAGGAUUAGAUACCCUGGUAGUCCACACCGUAAACGAUGAUUACUAGGUGUUGGAGGAUUGACCCCUUCAGUGC
rnacentral:rRNA from 1 species